UCAAGAAGGUAUUAAAAGUUCUUGAAAACCAGGAGCUAAUUAUUGCUGUAAAUAAACAACCCCAUAGUAAUUUGGCAGUUAAGCAAUUAGACACUAUAGCAGAAUACAAAGAUUUUGUCAAAUAUUUAGAUGAUGAUUCAGUUCGCCUUGAUUUGGUUAAACAACUGAGUUUUUUAGGCCCAGAAGAUUAUAAACAGCUGACAAGAUUGGUUAUGAAUAGAUUAUUUACAAAUACCCUAUUGGCACAGCUUAUUUAAAAGGUUCUGGUGGAAAAAUUGGUUUAUUACCAACGAAGCUAUAUGAUGUAAUAGAAGAAGUUGUAACAAGAAGGUUUGGAAAAGUUUCAAAUUCUGAUAUAAGACAGCAAAUCGGAAGAUAUUGUAAAAAUGCUCCAUCGCGGAAAAAUAGAAUCUAAAAUUUAUUUUUUAUUGUAUAUAUUAUAUGUUAUAUACAUUGUUAUAUAGAAAGAUACUUUAUUAAAAUC